CAAGCUCGCGCCGUCUCAUGGCAAUCUCCGAUCUUUUGUCUGGUACAUAAAGUAUUAUUUAUUCUUGCUUUCUCCCCCGUGCUCUCCGCCCCUCCCCCGAUCCCCUCCUUCCCUACCGUCGCGCCGCCGGCUCCACGCAGCGGCCGACGCGGCCUUCUCUCCCCGGCGCUCGAGAUGCAACAGCGGGUGCGGCAGUUCUCGGUCCAGCCGGGUCGGGCGCAGGUCGCCGGCAUCACUCGCUGCGUGCCGUGAUUCUGGAUCGGGCGCAGAUCUUUGCGCUCCCACCUCUCCUCCUCCUCCUCUCUCUCUCUCCCGUGCCGCCAUCGUUGCAAGGAGCAGGGGAGAUAGGUGCCGAGGACAAGAAGCAACGGGUUGGUUGCGGUGGGCUUGAGCUGCUGGGGAGAUGGAGGAGGCCGUCGUGGUUCGUCAUGGAGGCGGCUCCCCCGGCAAGCUGGUUGAGCACGGAGGAAUGAGGAAUAGAUAAAUGAGGCAUGGCGUAAGCGUAGGGGUCAGCCAGGGCACGACGCAAGAGUCUGCCCAUCUCCUCUCAAAGUUUGUCUGACAGAGGAAGUCAAUUGAGGAGUAUGUUGACACCAGAGUCCAAGACCAUGGGUGAAGCAUUUUAAUCAAUCUGUUGUUUUGGUAAGUUUCUUGCAUUCUUAGGAUUUAAAAUAACUGCAAGGAUUGUAGAGUUCUAAUGGUUGUGUUGGGUGUUUGCGGUGGCGAGGCUGAGCAGAUCAAACUGUACGCUUGGACCGUGACUAAUGGUGUGCCAAUGUGGUGGUGACUGCCACACACUCACACAGAUUCUUGGUACUCUCUGUAACCUGCAGAUGAUGGGUGGCGAAUCCGGCAACCACAGAUCCAUUCCCCUGCAUAAUUUUUGUUUGUUCAUUUGAUUUGGUACAAGGCCUACUCAGAAUGGGUUCCCUGAUCUCAAAAUUGUCAGUUUUCUUGCCUUUAGUUUAUAGGUACCUUAACAAAUACAUGUAUUUACCAUAUUGGCAGUCAUCACCAUACGGCAUUCAUUCUUCAGGAUCUCAUAUUUGAGGCUGGUCCAACCGGAGUUGGUUGAUGGCAGGGGCUGCGCUCCGGCAACCGUAUGGCUGAAGAAGGGAUGCAAAUGGAAAGAAUUUUGAGAUGCAUAAACUCCCGUCUUUGAAUCAGAAACAGAAGAUUGUUAGUUUUCUUGUUUCUUAGUUAUGCUACCCUGCUCCACGUAGGUUUUACAGUGAAAAGCUGAAGAAGUUGUGACGGCGAUGAAAGGACUGAAAGAUUUGCUCGAAGCAAAGACAUCUAGCCGAGAUACAUAUGCAACGAAGAGGAGGGAUCUUAUGUAGAAUAUGCAACAUCCAUGGUGCUGAAGGUGUGCUAUUAAGUCUCAGUUGCUCCUGCAAAAUAGCAUCUUAAUAAACAAAGGAUAUGCACCGCCAAGCAGUUUGUUGUGUAUUUUUUCCCUUCCAACGUUAUUGGAAAGAAGUCCAAAUAACCCCUGGGGUUUCACAAACUGGUCACUUUACCCCCUGAAGUCUAAAACCAGGAAAAUGUUUCCUGUUUUUGGUCUAACCCAUCGUAAGCUUGUCUCGUGGAUCCAUCUAUAUGAGAACCUUCUCAGUGGGUGUCAAAUGGAUUCGUCGCACGCCAAACAGAGCACCCGAGGAGAAGAGGAGGAUGCUCUCAAGAGAGGAAAUGAUAUGUUUUUUUUUGUUUUAAGAGCAAGAUAGAAGUUGAUAUGUAGUCCCCUGACUUCUAUAUAUACUGAUCCACAACACUUCACAAAAGAGUAUAUAUCAACAUCGUAUGCUA